rnacentral:rRNA from 1 species
GAUGAACGCUGGCGGCGUGCCUAAUACAUGCAAGUCGAGCGAACAGACGAGGAGCUUGCUCCUCUGACGUUAGCGGCGGACGGGUGAGUAACACGUGGAUAACCUACCUAUAAGACUGGGAUAACUUCGGGAAACCGGAGCUAAUACCGGAUAAUAUAUUGAACCGCAUGGUUCAAUAGUGAAAGACGGUUUGCUGUCACUUAUAGAUGGAUCCGCGCCGCAUUAGCUAGUUGGUAAGGUAACGGCUUACCAAGGCAACGAUGCGUAGCCGACCUGAGAGGGUGAUCGGCCACACUGGAACUUAGCCACGGUCCAGACUCCUACGGGAGGCAGCAGUAGGGAAUCUUCCGCAAUGGGCGAAAGCCUGACGGAGCAACGCCGCGUGAGUGAUGAAGGUCUUCGGAUCGUAAAACUCUGUUAUUAGGGAAGAACAAAUGUGUAAGUAACUAUGCACGUCUUGACGGUACCUAAUCAGAAAGCCACGGCUAACUACGUG